rnacentral:tRNA from 1 species
GCCUGGGUAGCUCAGUGGUUGAGCAUCUGCCUUUGGCUCAGGUUGCGAUCCUGGGGUCCUGGGAUCGAGUCCUGCCUCAGGCU